rnacentral:rRNA from 1 species
GGCUUUUUGAUAAUAAUUUAAGGUCUGACCUGCCCAAUGAUUGAAUUAUUAAAUGGCCGCGGUAUUUUGACCGUGCAAAGGUAGCAUAAUCAUUAGUUUUUUAAUUGAAAGCUUGUAUGAAGGGUUUAAUGAAAAAAUAGCUGUCUCUGCUUAAAUUUUUUAGAAAUUUAUUUUUAAGUUAAAAAGCUUAAAUAAAUAUUAAAGACGAGAAGACCCUAUAGAGUUUUAUAAUUUUAUAGGAUUGUUAUAUUUUAGUAUUUUUUAAUAAUUUUUUAGAAUUAUUUGGUUGGGGUGAUCGGAAAAUUUGUCGAACUUUUUUAUGUAAAAUUUCAUUGAUUUAUGAAUUUUUGAUCUUUUUUAAAGGUUAUUAGAUAAAAUUACCUUAGGGAUAACAGCGUAAUUUUUUUUAGAGUUCUUAUCGAAUAAAAAGAUUGCGACCUCGAUGUUGGAUUAAAAUUAAUUAUUGGUGUAGAAGCUAAUAAAUUAGGUCUGUUCGACCUUUAGAUUUUUACAUGAUCUGAGUUUAAACCGGUGUGAG